GUUAUAAUCUCAGUCAUCAUCACUGUUUUAGCUUUGCUUCCAUGGCAAAACAGGCACUGCUCUGGUUUUCUAAAGCAUCCUUUAAAUUCAUUUCCUGGCAAGUGGAGCAGUACUCCUGGAACUUGACAAUGCAGGCUGCCUGGGCUACGUUAGGGCUGAGGAAACCCAGCCAGGCAUGGCUGGGGGUGGCGAUGGUUUCAGGGGUCAAAUGUUUCAACAUCUGGUGCCUCUGAGAAGCCAGCUUCAGUUCCGACACCUCUGUUGGGGCUGGGGUUGGGGGGAGGGACCGGCAGCGGGACAGGAAGACCUGCUGCCAUUCUUUGCAUCGGAGAGCUUGGUUUCUUUUCCCCUCUGCUUUUCAGAGAGGACGGCCAAGUGCAUGACUUCUACCCCCCUGUGGUAACAUCAUGCCAUGACAUACGCUCCCGAGACAGGGGCCUUUGUUGCCGUGCUUGCGAGAAACAUCACCCAAGGCACCCGGGUCCCCCUUUGCAUUCUGCUGUCCACAGGGUAUUUUUAGGGAAGUGUUGGAGGUCAACCCCAGCAUGUAUUUUCCAGGUUUGAGGUUUCUCAAAAUCACCAGCCCUGGGAUUUUAAUUUUGGCCAUGAAGCAGAACCAGAACACACGGCAGCCAGAGCCACCAGUGAAGUCCCAAGUCCAACACUCACUGAGGGUCAGGGGUUCAGGAGGACAAGUGGUCUGUCCAGUGAUGCUGAUACAGUUUUUGCAGUGUUUGCAUUUUCUCACAGCCUGUACAGCUCCCAAAUGUUCCCUUUGCACGGCAUGCCCCCACCCCCAGUUUUAUAUGGAGCAGAUGGUCUUCAAAGAAAUCAAGGAGCAGAAGCUGCAAAAGGCUUAAAGGAAAAAAAAAAAAAAAGACAGUGAAACUCAUAUAUUUCUUCAAACGAUAAGAUGAACUACAGAUGUUUGCUGAAGGGUGAUGGUGCUCCCUACAACUUAAGUCUUGACUUAAAAGAAGAGUCCACUUGUGUUUAGCGUUGGACAAGCCCGGUAGCUGUCAGGGUGUGAUUUAUGGAGGUUGUUUGUGAGAUUUUAUGUCACUGGGGACAUGGCAAUUAAAAGGCUCUGCUCUUCAACUUGCAAAGAAUCUUUCUCCAGGACCCAGGCAUCCCUGACGGAAGUGUGGUGUCGCCCUGCAGCCAGGGAAGGGUGGAUGUGGCCAUCCCAGGCCUGGCUUGCAGGUUCUUGAGCUUCCUGAGUUCUGACCAACGUGUCUUCUGACUCCUGGGCCUCCCCCCUCACCCUCCACAGGAUUCUUGGUUUUUGCAAACAGAGUUCUGCUUUUACCUGACACCUGCAGUCAGAUUAAUCUCACAAUAAGCUUGACAAAGUUGCUAAAAGAGAAACAGUUGUCUGUUGCAGGGCCCAGCUGCAUAUAGAAAACAGCUGCUCCUUGGGCACGGUUUUUAAAAAAGGAAGAAAAGAAUCACUGGAAAGCGUUAAAAAAGAACAUAGAGCAUAUAUUGGAAGGGCCAGUAGAGGCCUGUAAUUAACACAACAGUAAGUAUCUGUGUUUCCAUGAAAAGCUUCUUUUUCAGGACUUGUUGUAACUUGGUCAUAAAUACUUAUUACAAACUGAAACUGAGCAAACUCUGCUGAAAGCUGUCUCCCCUCCUGUCUCUCUGCUCUCUGAGGCUCAUUCUUAAUGGGCAAAGAGAGCGAUGCAUCUUGGAUGCAUCUUGGACGCACUCCCAAACACAAGCCUCGGUACACAUCUGUGCAGAUGCAGUCAUCUAGCCCAUCACAAGUGUGCUUGGGGCCCUGAUUCAGGCUGCUGAGGGGUGGGUUCGAGGCAGAGGCCGAAGGGCCUUGGGCAGAAGCAGCGGGAGGAGACCCCAGAGAGCCUCUGGCCUCUUCAGCAGGAACAUGGGGAGCCUUUGAAGUUACCACAACUCAGGUGGAAACCCCUCAGAGCAGCCAAGGAGGAAAUCAUUCGUUUUCAAACAAAGGGGAAAAUUCCUCAGGACCCUGGUGUUUCCACUCAAACAAAUCUCUGAAAAGUUAUUCUCCGGAGGAUCAAGGCCCAGCUGUUCUCCAUCUCCACAAGGUUGGGAAUAGAGGAAAUGGGCUGCCGGUCCUGCAGCAGGAAAGAUGGAGGCUAGAUAGCAGGAGAUGGGCAAGGGCCUUGAAACGGGGACCAGGAAGCCCCAGUGGCUAUGUUCACAGGCAGGGGGAUGGAGGGCACAGCUUUUCAAGGUUGCCCAGUGUUCCUGUUGAAAACAGAAAGCCAUUGCCUCUUCAUACCAACACUGAACUCACUCACUAUGCAACUCAGAAUGAAAGCUGGAGGGACUCUGGCCCAUCUUCUCUCCUUUCCCCAAUUCAGGCAGAAUUACAUCCAAAAGCUUCUAUGGAGAUGAGAAUCUUGCUUAUUUUUAAAAGACAUUAAAUUAUCCAGUAGUGGACACCUGUCAUCUCGCUUUGUUCUGUUUUGAUCGUUGACUCUUAAUCCCCUUUCUUGUGUAGGAGUUCCCUAUGUGGUGGAUCACUGUGGGUGGCAGAAAUCUCCUCUCAUUUCCGAGACUGAGAAGUCAGGGCCCUUUGCGGGCCAGGACGGAGCUUAUCUUGGCUUCAUUCUGGCAUCUCACCCGUGGAAGGCAGAGUCUGCCCAUGGAUUUCUGCCUGUAACUGGAAGCUACAUCUCAAGUGAAACAACCUUUCAACAAUAGAGGCUAUGUUUCUACAUGGGGAUCAGAUUCUUAAGGAGAACUCAAAUGCCUAAAAGAGCAGAAGCCCUUCCUUCAGAAAUUUUCCUUCCAGAAGUUGAUCAUAGAGGAAAUAACUGAGCAAGCAUAAAAGUUAACUAGAAAAAUAAUGAGAGGAACUCGUCUUUGUAUAAGUCAGGGGGAUAUGUCAUUUUGAAGGGAGACACAUAGCUACCUGGAAGAAUUCAUCUGUUCCUUCAUUCAUUCACCCCCAGUGCGCAUCUAGUAUCACCAUGACUAUAAAUAUUGAAAAAUAAUGCUGACUGUGUCAGGUGCAGCGCUAACUGCAUUGCAUCAACUGUGUCUUUCACUCCACUCAAUCACCCCAUGAAGCACAUGCUGCUACUCUACCGUUUCUGCAGAUUCCUGAUAUCCUUCCUGACUGCGCACAUCUACAUAAAGCUCCUGCCCCUGCCACCUCGGAUGUCCCCAGGGACACAGUGCAAAAUGUACUGAGGUUGCCUGGUGGCUGGCUUCCAGGGCCUGGACCCAGGCAGUAUUCCUGCUUGGUUGAUGGUUUGGAUUGAGAAGACUAUGGCCACCGCUCUACCCUAGUUGUCCAGGUUGGCCAGAGGACGCCAGCUUCUUGGCCCCAGUGAUUGGCUCCCCAAGGGCAUGUGACUCAAGCUGGGCCAAUCAGAGUCAUCAUAGCUUCCUGACAGUCUUCGCGGGAAUGAAUUAUAUCGUCCUACCCUUUAGGAUUCUGAGAUCCUGCAGCCAUGCAAAGAGCCUUUUCUGGGAGUGAAGUUAGACCUACCAAGCAGCUCUGAGAGAGGCUGUGGUUCAGAGACAGCCAUUUGAUCCCUAAAUCUCACUGUGCCUGAAGGGAGAAUGCCCCUCGAACUUUUCAGCUUUGUGUGCCACACAUUCUAUUUUGUUUUUCUUAAAUGAGUCUGAAUUUAGAUUUUGACACUUGCAACUGAAAGAGUCCUGGGUACUGUGAUGCUUUUCUAUGAGAUGGUCUUUAUUUCUUACACCCAAUCUCCAGUUUUGGCAGAAGACACAGAAAAACAGGAAUGACACGAGUCUUGUGAUUUGCCCUGGUGUCUCCCCAUGGCUUUUGUUUGCUUUUUGCUUAAAAUGUUUUCAUUUUGCUUUUACACCUGAGUGGUCAGUUGGCUGUAGGAAGAAUUUUUUUUUCACUUUUUUUUGAGAAAGAUUUCAAGCAUAUAUAAAAAUAGAAUAACAUAUCAGCUUCCUGGAAGCCAAGUCAGAAAGAGAAAUGUGACGACUCUCUUAGUCUUAUAGUCAGCAAGAGUAGGUGUUGGUAAGGAGUGUCAACAUUUUAAUUUUCUUGGCAUUAAAUUUUGUAAGGUCUUUCUCACACAACAUUUUAUGGAAUGGACGUGGAAUGAUGAAAUGUGCAAUUUCCUCAGUAGCUGUUAUUUUAUAAAUAAAAUAUAAUUUAAAGC